rnacentral:rRNA from 1 species
GAUGAACGCUGACAGAAUGCUUAACACAUGCAAGUCUUUGGCGAAUCUGUGCUUGCACAGGCUAGCCAAGGCGGACGGGUGAGUAACGCGUAAAGAACUUGCCCUGCAGACAGGGAUAACAGACGGAAACGACUGAUAACACCUGAUACAGUUGCCGGCACGCAUGUGCCUGGCAAUGAAAAGAGAUGCUGCAGGAGAGCUUUGCGUCCUAUUAGCUUGUUGGUGAGGUGACGGCUCACCAAGGCGAUGAUAGGUAGCCGGCCUGAGAGGGUGAACGGCCACAAGGGGACUGAGAUACGGCCCUUACGCCUACGGGAGGCAGCAGUGGGGAAUAUUGGACAAUGGGGGCAACACUGAUCCAGCAAUUCUGUGUGCACGAAGAAGGUUUUCGGAUUGUAAAGUGCUUUCAGCAGGGAAGAAGAAAGUGACGGUACCUGCAGAAGAAGCGACGGCUAAAUACGUG